GCUUACACAUGCAAGUCGAACGAUGAACCUCCUUCGGGAGGGGAUUAGUGGCGAACGGGUGAGUAACACGUGGGCAAUCUGCCCUGCACUCUGGGACAAGCCCUGGAAACGGGGUCUAAUACCGGAUACUGACCCGCUUGGGCAUCCAAGCGGUUCGAAAGCUCCGGCGGUGCAGGAUGAGCCCGCGGCCUAUCAGCUUGUUGGUGAGGUAAUGGCUCACCAAGGCGACGACGGGUAGCCGGCCUGAGAGGGCGACCGGCCACACUGGGACUGAGACACGGCCCAGACUCCUACGGGAGGCAGCAGUGGGGAAUAUUGCACAAUGGGCGAAAGCCUGAUGCAGCGACGCCGCGUGAGGGAUGACGGCCUUCGGGUUGUAAACCUCUUUCAGCAGGGAAGAAGCGAAAGUGACGGUACCUGCAGAAGAAGCGCCGGCUAACUACGUGCCAGCAGCCGCGGUAAUACGUAGGGCGCGAGCGUUGUCCGGAAUUAUUGGGCGUAAAGAGCUCGUAGGCGGCUUGUCACGUCGGUUGUGAAAGCCCGGGGCUUAACCCCGGGUCUGCAGUCGAUACGGGCAGGCUAGAGUUCGGUAGGGGAGAUCGGAAUUCCUGGUGUAGCGGUGAAAUGCGCAGAUAUCAGGAGGAACACCGGUGGCGAAGGCGGAUCUCUGGGCCGAUACUGACGCUGAGGAGCGAAAGCGUGGGGAGCGAACAGGAUUAGAUACCCUGGUAGUCCACGCCGUAAACGGUGGGCACUAGGUGUGGGCGACAUUCCACGUCGUCCGUGCCGCAGCUAACGCAUUAAGUGCCCCGCCUGGGGAGUACGGCCGCAAGGCUAAAACUCAAAGGAAUUGACGGGGCCCGCACAAGGCGGCGGAGCAUGUGGUUAAAUUUCGACGCAACGCG
rnacentral:rRNA from 1 species